CAACUGGGCAGAGGGAUCCUCCUCCCAUCAUCGCUGCCCAGUCUCCUGUGCAGAUGUGCACCCUAUUGCACGCCUGCUGCCUCAGCACUGCCUGGUAAGCUCCACUGCCACAAGUUACCAGGAGCAGACCCUGGAUUGUCUGCCCACGAUGGGCCUGUGUGUUCAGCGUGACACCGUGCUGAGACUGCACAACAUCCUGCCUCUGCACCUAAGGUCCUGCCGGGAGAACAAGGUCAGAGACGCCAGGAGGAUUCCACCCCUGACAUCCGCGGGCAGAGUUCCCUGAAGACUGCACACUUGUAUAGGCUGUGAUGUGGCCCUGGAGAGUGAUUGAUAAUUAAUAAGAAUUUGUGAGUAAAUGCUUUAAUGCCUCUGUAAUUUUCUAUUGCCUCCUGGCAUAGAGCAGAAAGAGCCUGAGCCCAUCUACUGAGCAAAUGGCAUACUGACCCCAGGUGGCAUAUUGACCACAGGGAUAUUCUCUCUCUAUUUAUUGUUUGAAUGUUGGCUAGAUAAUACCAGUUCUGUUUGGUGUUAGUCCUAGAAUGUCUUCCAUAACUAUGUUAAUGAACAAAUAUUGAUUGUUUGGAGGUGGUGAGAGUUCAGAAUAUUACAAUUAAUAAACUAUAUAUUUUUAUAGAA